CCUGCUAUGCGACUAGCAGUAGCCUAGGGAAACGUGCGUCACUGGUAACGGUGGGGUACGAAGCUUUCCUGACAACGUAGCCCCCGAAGUUUGGGUGUUCACCUGCCGUGAGGUAAGUGGGCAGAGACUCCGAGCAGCAAUGGGGUCGAGGAG
rnacentral:ncRNA from 1 species